ACUCAAGUCUAUGCUAAUGCUUCAAUACACAAUGGAAAAUGUGGACAACCCAAAUGCAAGCCAAAUGAGCAUUUAGGAACCCAAGAGGAGACGACACCUGACCUGACUAUGCUACAAGACGGCAUUUUCAGAGCAAAAAUUGUGUUCAUUGAUGAUUCAGAUGAUGAAGGAGAAGCUGCCCCUAUACAUCCUCACUGUCUUGAGCAAACCAAUGACAUUGCAAGAAUUGAGCCUCAGCUUCAGCAAUACAAGAGCAAGUCAAGCUACAAUGCAGAUGCAGCAGUACCC